ACAAACUUGGUCAUUUAGAGGAAGUAAAAGUCGUAACAAGGUUUCCGUAGGUGAACCUGCGGAAGGAUCAUUACAAAUCAUGGCGAACCUCGUGUUUCACGAGGUUUUUGCGUCCAUUUUUUCAUAUUUAAAACAUCCCACUCUUAAAAAAUAUUUAUUUAUGAUAAAAUAAAAAAAGAUCACUUUCAACAACGGAUCUCUUGGCUCUCUUAGAGGAAGUAAAAGUCGUAACAAGGUUUCCGUAGGUGAACCUGCGGAAGGAUCAUUACAAAUCAUGGCGAACCUCGUGUUUCACGAGGUUUUUGCGUCCAUUUUUUCAUAUUUAAAACAUCCCACUCUUAAAAAAUAUUUAUUUAUGAUAAAAUAAAAAAAGAUCACUUUCAACAACGGAUCUCUUGGCUCUCGCAUCGAUGAAGAACGCAGC
rnacentral:misc_RNA from 1 species